AUACGUAGGUGGCAAGCGUUGUCCGGAAUUAUUGGGCGUAAAGCGCGCGCAGGCGGUCCUUUAAGUCUGAUGUGAAAGCCCACGGCUCAACCGUGGAGGGUCAUUGGAAACUGGGGGACUUGAGUGCAGAAGAGGAAAGUGGAAUUCCAAGUGUAGCGGUGAAAUGCGUAGAGAUUUGGAGGAACACCAGUGGCGAAGGCGACUUUCUGGUCGGUAACUGACGCUGAGGCGCGAAAGCGUGGGGAGCAAACAGGAUUAGAUACCCUGGUAGUCCACGCCGUAAACGAUGAGUGCUAAGUGUUAGGGGGUUUCCGCCCCUUAGUGCUGCAGCUAACGCAUUAAGCACUCCGCCUGGGGAGUACGGUCGCAAGACUGAAACUCAAAGGAAUUGACGGGG
rnacentral:rRNA from 1 species